rnacentral:rRNA from 1 species
CACGUAGGGCGCGAGCGUUGUCCGGAAUUAUUGGGCGUAAAGAGCUCGUAGGCGGCCUGUUGCGUCCGCUGUGAAAGCCCGGGGCUUAACCCCGGUCGGCAGUGGAUACGGGCAGGCUAGAGGUAGGUAGGGGAGAAUGGAAUUCCCGGUGUAGCGGUGAAAUGCGCAGAUAUCGGGAGGAACACCGGUGGCGAAGGCGGUUCUCUGGGCCGAUCUGACGCUGAGGAGCGAAAGCGUGGGGAGCGAACAGG